rnacentral:rRNA from 1 species
AUACGGAGGAUCCGAGCGUUAUCCGGAUUUAUUGGGUUUAAAGGGAGCGUAGGUGGACAGUUAAGUCAGUUGUGAAAGUUUGCGGCUCAACCGUAAAAUUGCAGUUGAUACUGGCUGUCUUGAGUACAGUAGAGGUGGGCGGAAUUCGUGGUGUAGCGGUGAAAUGCUUAGAUAUCACGAAGAACUCCGAUUGCGAAGGCAGCUCACUGGACUGCAACUGACACUGAUGCUCGAAAGUGUGGGUAUCAAACAGGAUUAGAUACCCUGGUAGUCCGCACAGUAAACGAUGAAUACUCGCUGUUUGCGAUACACGGUAAGCGGCCAAGCGAAAGCGUUAAGUAUUCCACCUGGGGAGUACGCCGGCAACGGUGAAACUCAAAUGAAUUGACGGGG